UGGGGAAUAUUGGACAAUGGGGGCAACCCUAAUCCAGCCAUGCCGCGUGAGUGAUGAAGGCCUUCGGGUUGUAAAGCUCUUUUGGCGGGGACGAUGAUGACGGUACCCGCAGAAUAAGCCCCGGCUAACUUCGUGCCAGCAGCCGCGGUAAUACGAAGGGGGCUAGCGUUGUUCGGAAUUACUGGGCGUAAAGCGCACGUAGGCGGAUUGUUAAGUCAGAGGUGAAAUCCCGGAGCUCAACUUCGGAACUGCCUUUGAUACUGGCAAUCUAGAGUCCGGAAGAGGUUAGUGGAAUUCCCAGUGUAGAGGUGAAAUUCGUAGAUAUUGGGAAGAACACCAGUGGCGAAGGCGGCUAACUGGUCCGGUACUGACGCUGAGGUGCGAAAGCGUGGGGAGCAAACAGGAUUAGAUACCCAAGUAGUCCCUGAGCGGGCUGGCAAGGCGCAU
rnacentral:rRNA from 1 species